GCCAGUGUAGUGUAGUGGUUUGAGCACUGGACUAAGACCCUGGAGACCAGGGUUCAAAUCCUGGCUCUGCCA